GACGAACGCUGGCGGCGUGCUUAACACAUGCAAGUCGAACGGAAAGGCCCUGCUUUUGUGGGGUGCUCGAGUGGCGAACGGGUGAGUAACACGUGAGUAACCUGCCCUUGACUUUGGGAUAACUUCAGGAAACUGGGGCUAAUACCGGAUAGGAGCUCCUGCUGCAUGGUGGGGGUUGGAAAGUUUCGGCGGUUGGGGAUGGACUCGCGGCUUAUCAGCUUGUUGGUGGGGUAGUGGCUUACCAGGGGUUUGACGGGUAGCCGGCCUGGGAGGGUGACCGGCCACAUUGGGACUGAGAUACGGCCCAGACUCCUACGGGAGGCAGCAGUGGGGAAUAUUGCACAAUGGGCGGAAGCCUGAUGCAGCAACGCCGCGUGCGGGAUGACGGCCUUCGGGUUGUAAACCGCUUUCGCCUGUGACGAAGCGUGAGUGACGGUAAUGGGUAAAGAAGCACCGGCUAACUACGUG
rnacentral:rRNA from 1 species